rnacentral:tRNA from 4 species
GCCUCCGUAGCUCAGGGGAUAGAGCGCCAGUUUCCGGUACUGAAGGUCGCAGGUUCGAUUCCUGUCGGGGGCG